rnacentral:ncRNA from 2 species
AUUUCAUGCACGGGGUGCUGUAAAAAGCUGAGAUGAUACCCGAGAACCUGAACUGGUUAAUACCAGCGUAGGAAUGCAGGAGCCAAUAAGA